AUGCAAGUCGAGCGGGGGUAUGGAAGGAGUAAUCUGACCAUGCUCUAGCGGCGGACGGGUGAGUAACGCGUGAGCGACCUGCCUUUCACAGGGGGAUAACGGGGGGAAACCUUCACUAAUACCGCAUGAGACCACGAAGCUGCAUGGCUUUGAGGUCAAAGGAGCAAUCCGGUGAAAGAUGGGCUCGCGUCCUAUUAGAUAGUUGGUGGGGUAAUGGCCUACCAAGUCAACGAUGGGUAGCCGACCUGAGAGGGUGAUCGGCCACAUUGGAACUGAGAGACGGUCCAAACUCCUACGGGAGGCAGCAGUGGGGAAUAUUGGGCAAUGGGGGAAACCCUGACCCAGCAACGCCGCGUGAGGGAAGAAGGUUUUCGGAUUGUAAACCUCUGUCCUUGGUGAAGAGCAGAAGACGGUAGCCAAGGAGGAAGCCCCGGCUAACUACGUGCCAGCAGCCGCGGUAAUACGUAGGGGGCAAGCGUUGUCCGGAAUGAUUGGGCGUAAAGGGCGCGUAGGCGGCUGUGCAAGUCUGGAGUGAAAGUCCUAUUUUCAAGGUAGGAAUUGCUUUGGAAACUGCAUAGCUUGAGUGCAGGAGAGGUUAUCGGAAUUCCCGGUGUAGCGGUGAAAUGCGUAGAGAUCGGGAGGAACACCAGUGGCGAAGGCGGGUAACUGGACUGCAACUGACGCUGAGGCGCGAAAGUGUGGGGAGCAAACAGGAUUAGAUACCCUGGUA
rnacentral:rRNA from 1 species